GGCCCGAGUGGCCCCAAGCGAACCUGCAGCCAUCAACGGAAUGACAAUUGGGUAUCUUCGAACGACGUAAAGGCCAAAAAGGAGCUCGACAAAUGACAACCCUACAUGGAUAGAAGAGGUCGCCGAUGACCUCGGGACAACAUGGAAAAGAAAAGAAGAAGAGAAGGAAGAAAGAGGAAAGGAAAGUGAAGAAGUUCGACAGACAACUAUUUAAUGCG
rnacentral:lncRNA from 1 species